CCUACGGGAGGCAGCAGUGGGGAAUAUUGCGCAAUGGGCGAAAGCCUGACGCAGCGACGCCGCGUGAGGGAUGAAGGUCUUCGGAUCGUAAACCUCUGUCAGCAGGGAAGAACGGUCACUGUGCUAAGCAGCAGUGAAUUGACGGUACCUGCAAAGGAAGCACCGGCUACCACCGUGCCAGCAGCCGCGGUGAUACGGAGGGGGCGAGCGUUAAUCGGCAUUAAUGGGCGUAAAGCGCUCGUAGGCGGUAUGUCAAGUCAAGGGUGAAAUCCCCGCGCUCAACGUGGGAACUGCCUUUGAAACUGGCAAACUGGAGUGUGUGAGAGGUUAGUGGCAUUCCAGGUGU
rnacentral:rRNA from 1 species